ACUGGAUUAGUAAGUAGAUUGUAAAAGAGCUGACUGGGAUGAAAUAUGUUAUUCAAAGAAACAUAUUAUCUUUUGAACACCACAUAAGGAAUCUGAUCACCGAAUUCUUGUGGGUGACAUCCCAAUAAAACAAAACCAAAGUUUUCCAAUAAAUUUGAAAUUGAGUGACAAGUACAAUGACAAUAGUCAUUAGUGUAAUUUACCAAAAAGCCAUACAUAACCACCAUCCCAUGGAGCUUACUCCUAUACACAUCAAAAACCACUCUUCUUAUCGUUUGGUCCUCAAAGGACCCAUCUAACCAUUUAAAAGUUGCCUCAAUGAUAAGCCAUCAAAAUGUCUAACUUCCAUCUCUUAAAUAUAAAACUAACAAAAAUGAGCAACCUUGUUAGCAGCCAGAGUAUGAUUUAGAAGAUUCCAUGUGAGCAAACUUGCUAUUCCAGAAGCACAACCAUUCAAAGUUAGUUUGAUAAACCCUUCACAAGACCUUGAAGCA
rnacentral:misc_RNA from 1 species